UACGGAGGGUGCGAGCGUUGUCCGGAAUUACUGGGUGUAAAGGGUGCGCAGGCGGCCUUGUGCGUCAGAAGUGAAAAUAUCACGGCUUAACCGUGAGGGUGCUUUUUGAAACGGCGAGGCUUGAGUACGGGAGAGGAUGAUGGAAUUCCUGGUGUAGCAGUGAAAUGCGUAGAUAUCAGGAGGAACACCGGUGGCGAAGGCGGGUCUCUGGGCCGAAACUGACGCUGAGGAGCGAAAGCGUGGGGAGCAAACAGG
rnacentral:rRNA from 1 species